rnacentral:rRNA from 1 species
CCUACGGGUGGCAGCAGUCGAGAAUAUUUCGCAAUGGGCGAAAGCCUGACCCUGCAACGCCGCGUGGGGGAAGGAAGCUUUCGGGUUGUAAAAUUCUUGUCACGGGGAAGCGCAUAAGACGGUACCUACCGAAUAAGCCAGGGAUAACUACGUGCCAGCAGGCUCGGUAAUACGUAGGUGGCAAGCGUUGUCCGGAUUUACUGGGUGUAAGGAGCGUGUAGGCGGGCUGACAAGUCAGUUGUGAAAUCCGGGGGCUCAACCCCCGCACGGCAUUUGCAACUGUUGGUCUUGAGUAACGGAGAGGCAAGCGGAAUUCUUAGUGUAGCAGUUAAAUGCGUAGAUAUUAGGAGGAACACCAGUGGCGAAGGCGGGCUGCUGGACGAUAACUGACGGUGAGGCGCGAAAGCGUGGGGAGCAAACGGGAUUAGAUACCCCUGUAGUC